UACGUAUGGUGCAAGCGUUAUCCGGAUUUACUGGGUGUAAAGGGAGCGUAGACGGAGUGGCAAGUCUGAUGUGAAAACCCAGGGCUCAACCCUGGGACUGCAUUGGAAACUGUCAAUCUAGAGUACCGGAGAGGUAAGCGGAAUUCCUAGUGUAGCGGUGAAAUGCGUAGAUAUUAGGAGGAACACCAGUGGCGAAGGCGGCUUACUGGACGGUAACUGACGUUGAGGCUCGAAAGCGUGGGGAGCAAACAGG
rnacentral:rRNA from 1 species